rnacentral:rRNA from 1 species
UACAGGGGGUGCAAACGUUGCUCGGAAUUAUUGGGCGUAAAGCGCACGUAGGCGGUCUGUUAUGUCGGAUGUGAAAGCCCUUGGCUCAACUGAGGAAGUGCAUCCGAAACUGGCAGGCUAGAGUACGUAAGAGGGUCGCGGAAUUCCCGGUGUAGAGGUGAAAUUCGUAGAUAUCGGGAGGAACACCGGUGGCGAAGGCGGCGACCUGGGACGAUACUGACGCUGAGGUGCGAAAGCGUGGGUAGCAAACAGG